rnacentral:rRNA from 1 species
ACGGGAGGCAGCAGUGGGGGAUAUUGCACAAUGGGGGAAACCCUGAUGCAGCGACGCCGCGUGAGUGAAGAAGUAUUUCGGUAUGUAAAGCUCUUUAAGCAGGGAAGAUAAUGACGGUACCUGCAGAAUAAGCCCCGGCUAACUACGUGCCAGCAGCCGCGGUAAUACGUAUGGAGCAAGCGUUAUCCGGAUUUACUGGGUGUAAAGGGAGCGUAGACGGCAAAGCAAGUCUGAAGUGAAAUCCCGGGGCUCAACCCCGGAACUGCUUUGGAAACUGUUUAGCUAGAGUGCAGGAGAGGUAAGCGGAAUUCCUAGUGUAGCGGUGAAAUGCGUAGAUAUUAGGAGGAACACCAGUGGCGAAGGCGGCUUACUGGACUGUAACUGACGUUGAGGCUCGAAAGCGUGGGGAGCAAACAGGAUUAGAUACCCUGGUA